GGCUAACGCUGGCGGCGUGUCUUAGCCAUGCAAGUCGAGCGGACUUAUGGGGUAACUUAUAAGUCAGCGGCGGACGGCGGAGUAACACGUAGCUAACCUACCCUCUGGACGGGGAUAACCUACCGAAAGGUGGGCUAAUACCCGAUGUAGUCAUCCUGUAUAGGGGUGAUGAAAGGUGGGCUUCUGUUUACAAGCUCAUGCUGGAGGAGGGGCGUGCGGCCUAAGUCAGGUAGUUGGUAGGGUAAUAGCCUACCAAGCCGAUGACGGGUAGCCGGCCUGAGAGGGUGACCGGCCCGAGGGGCACUGAGAUACGGGUCCCACUCCUACGGGAGGCAGCAGGCUAGAAAUUUGGGCAAUGGGGGAAACCCUGACCCAGUGACGCCGCGUGCAGGAAGGAGCCCUUCGGGGUGUAAACUGCUGUCGUGUAGGGAGAAGGGUACUAAGGUGAACAAUCUUAGUACUUGACGGUACUACAGGAGGAAGCCCAGGCUAACCUCGUG
rnacentral:rRNA from 1 species